UACGAAGGUCCCAAGCGUUGUUCGGAAUCACUGGGCGUAAAGGGAGCGUAGGCGGCGUGGUAAGUCAGAUGUGAAAUCCCGGGGCUCAACCCCGGAACUGCAUCCGAUACUGCCAUGCUAAGAGUGAUGGAGAGAGUGGAAUUCUUGGUGUAGCAGUGAAAUGCGUAGAGAUCAAGAGGAACACUCGUGGCGAAAGCGAGCUACUGGACAAUUCCUGACGCUGAGGCUCGAAGGCUAGGGUAGCGAAAGGG
rnacentral:rRNA from 1 species